rnacentral:tRNA from 1 species
GUGGUCCACUGGUUAGAACGCUGGCCUUGUAAUCCUGGGGGUCCGGGUUCGAUUCCCGGC